UGCAAUCCAUGAUGCAAACUUUAACCCAUUUGCCUGAUAUCAAAUGAUUAUCCAGUUAAAUAUCACCAUCUUUCGGCUGAGAUUGCA